UACGUUGGGGGCUAGCGUUGUCCGGAUUUAUUGGGCGUAAAGAGCGUGUAGGCGGCCAUGUAGGUCCGGUGUGAAAACUCGAGGCUUAACCUCGAGAUGUCAUCGGAAACCAUUUGGCUAGAGUCCGGAAGAGGAGAGUGGAAUUCCUGGUGUAGCGGUGAAAUGCGCAGAUAUCAGGAAGAACACCAAUGGCGAAAGCAGCUCUCUGGGACGGUACUGACGCUGAGACGCGAAAGCGUGGGGAGCGAACAGG
rnacentral:rRNA from 1 species